AAACACGAGAGUGCCUCGGGAGCCCGAAGACAGGUGCUGCAUGGCUGUCGUCAGCUCGUGUCGUGAGAUGUUGGGUUAAGUCCCGCAACGAGCGCAACCCCCUAUCUCUAGUUGCCAGCGAUUCGGUCGGGGACUCUAGAGAUACUGCCCCGGUUAACGGGGAGGAAGGUGGGGAUGACGUCAAGUCCUCAUGGCCCUUAUGCCCAGGGCUACACACGUGCUACAAUGGGCGGUACAAAGGGUAGCGAUGCCGCGAGGCGAAGCCAAUCCCAAAAAGCCGUCCACAGUUCGGAUUGGAGUCUGCAACUCGACUCCAUGAAGCCGGAAUCGCUAGUAAUCGUGGAUCAGCAUGCCACGGUCGAAUACGUUCCCGGGCCUU
rnacentral:rRNA from 1 species